UGAAAUGUCAACUGUUAAUCUCUUUUGUUUGUCUUCAUAUUGACGUUUAGUUGUGGUUUUCUGCAGGACAAUAUUGCACUUACAGUAAUAUUGGAGGCAAUUAAAGCUGAACCGGUUUCUGACACGUUAAAUCAUCGAAUUUGUGUGGAAAAUGUUCAUGUAUCUGCGGACCCAGAGAAUACAGAUGUAAAACUAUGGCAGGUAUUUUAGUGCUGCUCAUACUCUUCUAGUUAAUGCCGAAGCUUGGGCAUACAGAACUCCUCAAAGCUACAAAAGUUUCUUAUUGAUUUGAUGUAGUCAUUGUCUGUGACAGGGUCUUCUGGUAAAAUUGAAGUAUUUAUGAAGCUUAGUUCAGCUUCGGGUCUGAGUUCAAUUCAGAACUGCGAGUAUGG